AUGACUUUGAUCUGCGUCCUCAUCUGGACUCUCCUCUGCUGCUGUUUCACAGAGUCCAGAGGACAGUACACUCUGACUCAGCCUGGAGCAGUGAGCUCUGCUCCGGGAGGCUCUGUCUCCAUCAGCUGUAGGACCAGUCAGGAUGUUCAUUUUUGGAACAAUUACCACCUUUUAGCCUGGUACAAACAGAGAGAUGGAGGAACUCCUAAACUGCUCAUUUACUCUGCUAGCACUCGUCAGUCAGGGAUUCCAGGUCGUUUUACAGGCAGUGGAUCAAACUCUGACUUCACUCUGACCAUCAGUGGAGUUCAGACUGAAGAUGCAGCAGUUUACUACUGUCAAAGUUUUCACUUUCCCAACAGUCAGUGGGUGUUCACACAGUGA